rnacentral:lncRNA from 1 species
UUUUUUUCUUUUGUAAUGUGGGGAAAGGUACUUAGAAAAAAGAAAGUCAAAUGGAUGGAACUAGAAGACAUUACGCUAAGCAAACUAAGUCAAUCAGAGAAAGACAAUUAUCGUAUGAUCUCACUCGUGUAGAAUUAAGAAACAAAACAGAGGAGCAUAGAGAAAGGGAGGGAAAAAUAAAACAAGAUGAAAUCAGAGAAAGAGACAAACAGUAAGAGACUGUUAAUCACAGGAGACACACUGAGGGUCACUGGAGGGGCGUUGGGGGGAUGGGGUAACUGGGUGAUGAACAUUAAGAAGGGCACGUGAUGCAAUGACGGAUAAAUCACUGACCUCUACCUCUGAAACUAAUAAUACACUAUAUGUUAACUAAUUGAAUUUAAAUAAAAAUAAAUAAUUUUUUAAAAAAAACGAAAAAGAAAGUAAAAAAUCUGGCAGAGCACAGACAGACAUCAUAGAGUUGGGUUAGCCCAGAGGAUGUAUGGAACUUGGGUUCCAGGAGAUCUAUGCCCUUUGAGCUAUCCAUGCCCCUAUAGUUUCCACAGACUCCCAGAGGCAUCCAUACCCCAGUUGAAAGACAGCUAAUGACCUCACGCAGUCCCUGGCACCUAGGACAAACCCCACAAAAUCAGAUUUCAGUAUCAUCUGGCCCCAGAGAAUGCAUUGCCACAUAUAUACCUAGACCCUCAUUCUACUCAUCCCCCAACAACAACAACAACAGCAACCAACCUAGGUAAAAAGACUAGAACAUUAUCAGGUUAACAGGUGCAAUGAAAAAUUAAAAUAUACUGAGCUGAAGGAAAGAAAUGUAUUUUAACCCCCCAGCAGGGAAGGUGCUCAUUCCCUGCUCCUUUGCAUGCCUUAUUAAUGAUGAUGACUGUUUAAUCACAUCCCCCGGUGGGGGGGGGAACAUCUUGUUCCCAUUCAUUAGGUCACAAUAACUUUUUUGUUCAUCCAAAGUGCUUAGGAUAAGGUUCAGUGCCUAAUGUCACUGACAACACUUCUAAUUGAAAUCCCAUCUGAAACAUUGCACCUACAUAAUGGAGACCAGCCAAAUAAUUCCAUGCCUUUCAUAACGUCUUCUCCUUGCUCCUGCUCUAAGCUCUUGUACCUAACUCAACAGCAAGCCCAUUUUCUGAAGUGUUUAGACUGCUCAGCAAUUGGGUGUCACCGUGACCCAAGAUUUGCUGUGCAAAAGUAAAUGUUGGUUGAAUGAAUGCAUGCAGGCAUGCAUGAAUGAAUGGGUGAGGAACAAAUGAAUCAAGAGUGUAAGGCCACAAAGGAUUUGAUUCCCCCGGCGCCAUAGAAAAUCAGAAUGAGAACACUCCUCAAGUGUUUUAAUCCUUCUUGCUAAGCACAGCCUUGACUUGGUUGACACUAAUUAAGUCCUCAGCAAUAGCUAAUGAACUGUUCAAUAAAACUAACCAACCUUACAUCGUGACCCCAGAAAAGGUCAAAUGAGUCAAUGACCCAGCUCCACGGCCAGGUAGCAAAGUCCUGAGAGCUGUCCCUCAGAUGUCCCUCGACAGGAUGGCUCUGCCACACAGCGUCAGGCUCAGCAAUCAUUUGGAUUCAUUGCUUUCCCGCCGUGUGGAUGAAUGCACACAACCAUUUUCCAAACCACACGCUUCAUCCCUCGUGAGUCUGAUCUACUGAGCCUCCACUGAGGGUCCUUCUGCUCUUCCAGAUCCUUCCCUUUGCUCAAAGGAACACCCCAAGCCCCCACCCUUUGACCUCCUAGCAACACUGUGAUUUCCUUGAUUUUGACAAUUAAUCUCAUCCUUAAAAAUAAAAAGAUAGUAAGCAGAUGCCAACGAGAAAUAAACAGCAAAACUUUCUGUGAAUUGCAGAGAACAAUGAUUCUCUUAGGAAGGUUUUGUGUCUGCCCCCUCUGUCUCUCAGCGCAAGUGUAUCACUUACUACCCUUAUCUUAGGAUACAACCCAGACGAGCAAGUCAUUCUCCAAUCAACCAACUUUCAGCCAAGUCUGAAAUGUUGACUGUGUCUGGAGAUUGCACUAGUUUAGUUAUUUUUUAGCACUUUGGCCUGUCAUAAAAACAUUCUCUCAAAUCCCAGUAUUUUUCCUACCCUCGCAUAAUAACUUCGAAAUGUAUUAUUGCUGAGAAACCGCAUUCUCUCUGCCAACAAGUCCCCAGAGGGAAGCUCUAGCAGAAGAAAAGAAGUUUUUACAAUCACUUCAUGAGAGAAAGUCACUCAUCCACUGGACCUAAUCAAGUUUUCCAAGACAUGGGCCACAGCUGACACCCAGAGCUACAUUCUUUGUAUUUGUGCUUUUUCGUUUCCUUUCCUUUAAAAAGAAAUGGCAAAAACCUAUGCUUUUUCUUCCAUGGCAAAACAUAAUGGGCAAAGCGAGCACUGCCACUGUGGGAGUGCUAAUGGAGAUUCUAGCCUGUAAGUAAAAAGACUUACCAGGACCAGAGGACUAAUUAACAGGUCAGCCAGUAAUGCACUAACGCAGGAGGAAAUGUGUAUUUAAAAAACAGGGCUGAACAUGUACUGCAGGCUGCUGCUGACUUUACAGCUGCUCUUAUGGCCUCGUGCAAGAGCAUUAACAUGAGGCAGGGAAGAAGGGGACCUCAGUCCCAGCCCCAAUUAAUGUGUCCCUGUCUCCUCCAUAAAUCAUGGGGUAUGUAC